CCCAGGUGCUCGAUGAAAUGCCCAAAGGGCUACAACAAUAGUAAUUCACUAGCUAGCUCCAGCGAAGCUGCCAUAUGGUACCAUGGAGGCACCAACUUCGACAGGACCUCCGGUGGGUCGUUCAUCGCCACUGGCUAAUGCGCCGAUCGACGAAUACGUCCGCUGAGGCAGCCGAAAUGGGUCUCCUGAGGGACCUGCACAAGGCCAUCAAGCAAACCGAGCUGGCGCUGAUCUCUGUCAACCCCACAAUCCAAUCCAUCAGGAACUACGAGAAGCAUUACCAUCAACUCGAAUGAGCGAUUCUAAGUCUGGGCAGUGACCGCAGUUGACCAUCUACUCUGCUAGGCAGUCCAUACAUGUGUUCGUC